ACCUGCAGUCCCACCGUGGGCAGGGAAUUUCUCUCCCACUCGGGGGAGGGGCCCAUCUCCCCUGGUAUCCCGGCUGUGCCCAGGCCCACCCAUCUGCUAUGAGAGAGUUCCCCGGGUGGCCAGUGAAGGGUAAAGUCCUCCCAUCUGGUGCCCUUUGAGCCCCCCAACAGCUGUUUCUCCUUCCAGCUGUUGCCGGGGGGGUGGCUGGAUCCCACCUUGCAGCUGACCCUCAAUGGGGCUGUGCUGGGGCUGCUGUUGAGCCACCCGGGGGGCAUCCCCCUGCGGGAUUUCGGGAGGCUCUUCCACCAGCACCAUGGCCGGCUCCUGGAUCUGCCCCGGCACGGCUACCGCUCGCUGCGCCACCUGCUGGGUGACAUGAAGGAGCUGGUGGUCCUGGACGAGGAGGGCAAGGAACCGUGGGUCAGGUGCCGGCACGCAGCCUGCGACCUGCUGCCAGAGGCCAAGCCCCCCAGGAGACGCCGCCAUCACCCCCGGAUCCACAAGGAGGCGCCACCCGAACGGCAGCACCCAGAGGCUCCUAAAGCAGGCCUUGGAACUCCUGCCACCACCUGGCUGCACCCCCGGACCAUCCGCCGGCCGGAUCUGCCCCCGAGCACCAAGCCUGCACCUGGCUGCCCCGAGCUGUCUCGCUGAGCCACUUCCCCAGCUCCCGCCUUCCUGUGGCUGUCCCUGCUAAUCUUCACCAACCAGUCACUGGGUCUGGCAGCGUACCAGGGGGCAGCCCUGAAUAGCCCCGAGCAGGCCCCCAGCCGGCUGCCCCGCACCACCCUGCCGCCCAGCCAGCCCCCAGCUGGACCCUCCCAUGGCCGAGAGGGCUGAGCUGGAGCAGAAUGUGGCGCGGGUCCUGCGGGGCCACCCUGGGGGCAUUUCCCUCUUCCGCUUCCGCCAGGCCUACGGUGCCGCCUACACCCACCCCUUCCCCCUGGACAGCACGGCCUCGGUGAAGGAGCAGCUGGCGGCCAUGCCGGGGGUUGUCAGGGUGGAGGGCUGGGGGGUGCAGACGAUGCUCUUCCCAGUCUGCCCCCAGGAGCUCCCCAGCGAGGAGACUACAAAUUCUGGAGUUCUGUACAGCAUCACAGACCCUUCUGCAGCUUUGCCCCGAGUCAGGGUGUGAACCCCGGCAUCCUGUCCAACGGACGACCUUCCCCAGAUGGGGCU